GAACCUGCGGAAGGAUCAUCG
rnacentral:rRNA from 2 species